AGUGAGGAAUAUUGGACAAUGGGCGGGAGCCUGAUCCAGCCAUGCCGCGUGCAGGAUGACGGCCCUAUGGGUUGUAAACUGCUUUUAUACGGGAAGAAACGCACCUACGAGUAGGUGUCUGACGGUACCGUAAGAAUAAGGACCGGCUAACUCCGUGCCAGCAGCCGCGGUAAUACGGAGGGUCCGAGCGUUAUCCGGAAUCAUUGGGUUUAAAGGGUCCGUAGGCGGGCCUGUAAGUCAGGGGUGAAAGUUUGUGGCUCAACCAUAAAAUUGCCUUUGAUACUGCAGGUCUUGAGUCAUGGUGGGGUUGCCGGAACAUGUGGUGUAGCGGUGAAAUGCAUAGAUAUCACAUAGAACACCGAUCGCGAAGGCAGGUGACCAACCAUGUACUGACGCUGAUGGACGAAAGCGUGGGUAGCGAACGGGAUUAGAUACCCCGGUAGUCCACGCCGUAAACGAUGGAUACUAGCUGUGGGGACUUCGGUCUCCGUGGCCAAGCGAAAGUGAUAAGUAUCCCACCUGGGGAGUACGUUCGCAAGAAUG
rnacentral:rRNA from 1 species